AUUGAACGCUGGCGGCAUGCCUAACACAUGCAAGUCGAACGGCAGCAUGAAUAGGGGUAACCUUAUUUGAUGGCGAGUGGCGGACAGGUGAGUAAUAUGUAGGAAUCUACCUAGAGGAGGGGGAUAACUUGGGGAAACCCAAGCUAAUACCACAUAAGCCCUACGGGGGAAAGAAGGGGACCGCAAGGCCUUGCGCCUUAUGAUGAGCCUACAUCGGAUUAGCUAGUUGGUGUGGUAAAGGCCUACCAAGGCGACGAUCCGUAGCUGGUCUGAGAGGAUGAUCAGCCACACUGGGACUGAGACACGGCCCAGACUCCUACGGGAGGCAGCAGUGGGGAAUAUUGGACAAUGGGCGAAAGCCUGAUCCAGCAAUGCCGCGUGUGUGAAGAAGGCCUUAGGGUUGUAAAGCACUUUCAGUAGGGAGGAAGGGUGUAACGCUAAUAUCGUUGCACAUUGACGUUACCUACAGAAGAAGCACCGGCUAACUCUGUGCCAGCCGCCGCAGUAA
rnacentral:rRNA from 1 species